rnacentral:lncRNA from 10 species
CACAGAGCAAGAUGACAAGCUCGCUAAUAAGCUCUGUUGGGGAGGUCUCAGCCCAGGCCAGAGCUGUGAAGUGAGAAAUAAGUCCAGUUUAAAUAGUGCUGCUGGGAUGGACUUUUGUGGCCAGGGAAGGGGUACCCAGGAGCCAGUGUGGCCACUGACCCAGCCUCAUCAAUGGCCCUAGGAUCCAGAAUGCCACAAACAAUGGAGCAAGAAUCAGAUCUGUGUGUCUGGACAAAGAAUUCAAGACUAAACUGGGCAUGGUGACACGCACCUGUAGUCUCAGCUACUUGGGAGGCUGAGGCAGGAGAAUCACAUGAACCUGGCAGGCGGAGGUUGCAGUGAGCCGAGAUUGUGCCACUGCACUCCAGCCUGGCCACAGAGCGAGACUCCGUCUCAAAAAAAAAAAAAAAAGAAAAAAAGAAAAAAGAAGAAGUCAAGACUAAGAAGAGUGAAGUAUGAAGUAAUUCACCCACAGACACCCAGCUAGUGAGUGGCAGACCUGGAAGACAAACUAGUUCUGUUUGGCAUCAGAAUCUAUGCUGUCAGCCACCUCACCACAUUCAUGUGACAUCCAACAAAGUGGUGCCUUCACCUGCUACUAAGUCUUGCUAGGGCUAGUUCCAGAGCCAAGACUAUGAAGUGGACAAUGAUCUAUGAAGCGCUAAGUGAACAGAUGUCAUGUAAAUAGCUUGGAUCUCUACGUGCAUGUGUGCAUUGUAUAUGUUUACCAAAGACCUUGUUACAGUGUUUUUAGGCAUGGCUCACUUUAUAAAGGUCAUCACAGUUGGCCAAGCUAUCUGGUAUUUAUUACUCAUUUGAUACUCACACCUGCUCAAUGAUGCUGGUAUCAUUACUCUCCAUAAUGAUUUUCCUAUCAUUUUACAGAUGGGGUUCAGAAAGAUCAGGUGGUAGAUCCAUAGUCACACUCUAGUUAAUUGAUAGGACUGAGAAUUCAAUGCAUGCCCACUGCCUUCUCUUACAAGUCUUGGGGUAUUUGAGUGUAAUUCAAUAAUGACAACCCCUUCACUGUCCAAAAGGGGUGAAUGAAACAUCAAGCUGUCACAAAGGCUAGGUUGGAGGGCAUGGCUUAUAUCCUUGGGUAAGUAGGCUUACUAAACUUAAACCCUAAAGUUGAACUGACUUAACUACCCCGUCCCAGCAGCUGGAGUGGGACAGGACACUGGGUCUAUAUGGAGAGGGGUCUGCCCAGAUUAGCUUUAGGACGUGGAGAAGCAGAGAACUCAUGUUCCUACAAACAGGUUCACUCUCAAGAUAAAGACAAGGAACCAAACUCAGCCUGCCUGCUUCAUUUUUUCAUAUUUGCCAAUCAGAUAAGUCACUUCCGCCCCCAGAGAGAUUUAAUAAAGGAGCAGAGAAAGACUUCUAAUAAAAUUCCCUCCAUAUGGAAGGAAAAGGAGACAUCGGGAGUUACGUUAAUCAUGCUCAUUUCUUAACAGUGCAAAUAUCAAGAGUUAGAAAUUAGAGUUCCUGGCUGGGUGCGGUGCCUCACUCCUGUAAUCCUAGCACUUUGGAAGGCCAAGGCAGGUGGAUUGCCGGAGCUCAGGAGUUCGAGACCAGCCUGGGCAACACGGUGAAACCUUGUCUCUACUAAAAUACAAAAAAAUAGCCAGGCGUGGCAGCGUGCACCUGUAAUCCCAGCUACUCAGGAGGCUAAGGCAGGAGAAUUGCUUGAACAAGGGAGCCAGAGGUUGCAGUGAGCUGAGAUUGCACCACUGCACUCCAGCCUGGGUGACAGAGCGAGACUCUGUCUCCAAAAAAAAAAAACAAAACAGAAAUAAGAGUUCCCACAUGACAGCAAGAAUCACUGAAAAUGCUGGACCCACUGUCAAUGCUGUAUUGUUGCAAAGAAAAUGUUUAUCUUGCCUAACUUUAAAGUCACACAUGCCUGGGAACUUCCAACUAGAACACAGCUGGCAAAGCAGACACCCUCUCCCUGCAGCCUCGUUGAAAAUGACCUCCUUUACAUUUCCUCAUUGAGAAUCUGCCCAGUGAGGACUGUGGCAGAAGAGAGUCAGGGAGAAUUUUCUAGCUGAUUAGGGUUAGAAAAUGAAGACGAGGGCUCUCUUGUAAUCAGCAGGAAGCUAUGAUAGAAAAGAAUGCCUUUUAAAUUUGAAGUGCAAAACUAGAAAAUAGAAAAUUAUUAGGGGGGUUUGAUAUGAAGUUUCGGAAUUCUUUUCAAGACUGUGUGUUUUGAAGUUAAGAUUUUAAAUAAUGUAGGAAGGUACAGUCUAUACUGAUGGGUUCAGGAUAUGCUAACCCAAAAUAUGGCACCUUGGUGUUUGAGAAAAUGGCGGAAGCAGGAAGGUCAUUCUCACCAUCCACCUCCCUUUCCCCCUCCUGAAGCAGGUCUUCUUUGAAAGGCCCCUCCCUGUAACCAGAAGAAAGGAACAUUCUUACCUUUGAAGUCACAGGGUCACAGAGAAGAAUCUGAACAGGACUUACUAAAUUCUUCCAGUUUGUCACCAUUUGCUCAUACCAUCUUUGUCCAGUUAUAUUUCUCCAAAGCUAUCCACUCUUCAUCAAACUUAGCAUAAAAAUUGUAAAACCUUACACAUUUCUUCAGGUCUUCCUUUUCCUUAGGAAGCCUCCCAUGUCACAUGAAACUUAAAUAAAAUAAAUCUGUAUGCUUUUCUCUUGUUAAUCUGUCUUUGCGAGGCCUCAGCCAUGAAUUUAGUGAUAGAUGAAUUUAGUGAUAGAUUCUUCCUCCCCUACAGUGCCUAGAAAUGCAUUAGGUUAAAUGUAAUAAUAAUUGAAAAUUGCCAAAGUGUCCCUGGGUAUUUAUCCCUUUUUAAAAAAAUCAGCUUUAUGGAGGCAUAAUUUACAUUCAAUAAAAUUUACCAAUUUUAAGUGUAUAAUUUAUAAAUUUUGACAAGAGUAUGCGGUCAUGUAAUCACUAAUAAUAAUUAUUGAUUAGAAAAAUAUCAAACUCUUCCUAUAGUGUUUGUGUCUUUUAUAAAGCUUCAUGAGGUUAUUCAGUGUUCUCUAAGACUUACCAGAUUUAACUAAUUUUAUAGAAAAUUCUACUUUUGAUUAAGGAGUGAUUGAAAAC